rnacentral:tRNA from 1 species
GGAGGAGUGGCAGAGUGGUCGAAUGCACCGGUCUUGAAAACCGACGGGCGUGUAAGCGUCCCCAGGGUUCGAAUCCCUGUUCCUCCGCCA